GACGAACGCUGGCGGCGUGCUUAACACAUGCAAGUCGAACGGAAAGGCCCUGCUUUUGUGGGGUGCUCGAGUGGCGAACGGGUGAGUAACACGUGAGUAACCUGCCCUUGACUUUGGGAUAACUUCAGGAAACUGGGGCUAAUACCGGAUAGGAGCUCCUGCUGCAUGGUGGGGGUUGGAAAGUUUCGGCGGUUGGGGAUGGACUCGCGGCUUAUCAGCUUGUUGGUGGGGUAGUGGCUUACCAAGGCUUUGACGGGUAGCCGGCCUGAGAGGGUGAACGGCCACAUUGGGACUGAGAGACGGCCCAGACGCGUACGGGAGGCAGCAGUGGAGAAUAUUGCACAGUGGGCGGGAGCCUGAUGCAGCAACGCCGCGUGCGGGAUGACGGCCUUCGGGUUGUAAACCGCUUUCGCCUGUGACGAAGCGUGAGUGACGGUAAUGGGUAAAGAAGCACCGGCUAACUACGUG
rnacentral:rRNA from 1 species